rnacentral:lncRNA from 1 species
ACUUCUACCUAGAAUCUCAGUCUGAACACUUUCAAGGCAUUGACAGUCGCAGAACUGAAAUGAAUGAAGGUUCUAGUCACGGAGCCGUGAGUUGCCAUAGUUUUUGAUGACUUAUUUUUAUUUUUGUUCUCUCCUUACCCCAAGGGGCUUGUCCUGUGCAUUUAACCUUGACACCUAUGAAGUCAUGCAUUUCCAGAGAACCUGGAGGACUGCAGGCACCAAAGAAUGAGGGUAGAGGGAUCAAGACUCUCCGGCUCACAAAUGUUCCCAGUCCAUGCCCUUCCUCCUGAUCUCAUCUGGAUUAUUCAGAUCCACAGGAGCCCACAAGCCACCCUGGAAACCUUGAGCCACUCACAACUCCUGGAGUCUGAGCAACCCAUCAGAGGUUGAACCAGGAUGCCUAUAAAAAGCCUUCUGCGUUCCCCUACAUACUCUUCAUGAAUCCUCAGGAAGAAUGGAAUAAGACAAGGGUCAGAGAGCUGGAGCCAGAUACUGAAGAUGCCAGGCUGGCUGGAGGCACUGGCGGCUGCACUUCCUCAGCCUGUCUCCUGUCUCUCUGGCUGGCAUGGCCUCUGCCUAUACUCCUUUAAGGGAAUUGGUCAUGCUCCUGGCUAGCCUCACCUGUGUGUCUACUACUUAUUGCAUAAAGGAAAGGUUAUUUCCACGCUCAGUUUUCUAGACACUUACAAGCACGGAUCUGUGAAUCAGUUAUGGCAGCAAAGAAUAAGUGGGAGAUUCAUCUUAACACCUGAACUACCUGCCAUUCCUGUCUCUGGGACUUGCCUGCCAUGUAAAAGCCAAUUCAGGAAACAUCAAGAGCCUCAAGCUAACCCUACAAAGCAGGGGCCUCCCAGAGCUCACACCAACCAUAAAAGGAGAGAAAGAGGCCAGCAGCCCUCACUAACUCUACAUCUGUCACAUGCGCAGGAUUCAGAAGACAUGAAGACUUCUAUACAUCCUCUCAACUUCUCCUCCACCAGGCAUUCCCAUUUCCAAAUUUCCGGAAUCCGGAAACUAUAUUCCAGCCUGUGGUGGUUUGAAUAUCCUUGGCCCAUGGAAAGUGGCCCUAUUGGGAGGUGUGAUCUUAUUGGAGGAGGUGUUACCUUGUUAGAGGAAGUGUGUCACUGUGGGGGUGGACUUUAGGGCUCCUAUGCUCAAGUUCUGCCCAGUGUGGAAUCAGAGCCUUCUGGCUGCCUGUGGAAGACAGUCUCCUCCUAGCAGUCUUUAGAUCAAGAUGUAAAACUCUUGGCUCUCUAGCACUCUCUAGUCUUCUGAGCAGGAGAGAAGAACGCACUGAAGGGCAGGGAAGACCUGGAAAUGAACAACAGCUCUUUGAAGGAGAUUAGGGAGUAAGAUGGUUUGUAUAUGCUUGGCCCAGUGAGUGGGCCAUAUUAGAAGGUGUGGCUCUGUUGGAGUAGGUGUGGUACUGUGGGUGUGGGCUUCAAGACCCUCUUCCUAGUUGCCAGGAAGCCUGUAUUCUGCUAGCAGCCUUCAGAUGAAGAUGUAGAACUCUCUCAUCCUGCCUGGAUGCUGCCAUGCUUCCACCUUGAGGAUAAUGGACUGAACCCCUGAGCCUGUAAGCCAGCCCCAAUUAAAU